GGCCGGAUAGCUGAGUGGUUAGGCGAAGGAAUGCAAUGCUUUAUACAAUGGUUCGAAUCCAUUUCCGGCCUCAA
rnacentral:tRNA from 1 species